rnacentral:rRNA from 1 species
ACUCUAAGCGGUGGAUCACUCGGCUCAUGGGUCGAUGAAGAACGCAGCAAACUGUGCGUCAUCGUGUGAACUGCAGGACACAUGAACAUCGACAUUUUGAACGCAUAUCGCAGUCCAUGCUGUUAUGUACUUUAAUUAAUUUUAUAGUGCUGCUUGGACUACAUAUGGUUGAGGGUUGUAAGACUAUGCUAAUUAAGUUGCUUAUAAAUUUUUAUAAGCAUAUGGUAUAUUAUUGGAUAAAUAUAAUAAUUUUUAUUCAUAAUAUUAAAAAAUAAAUGAAAAACAUUAUCUCACAUUUGAAUGUGAAAAACGAAGAGAAAUAUUUUCUUUUUCAAUCAAAUAAUACUGAGAAAUGUCUAGCAUAAAAAAUUGAAAUAUUUUUCAUCUAGAAUUGUCUCUUAUUAAUGAUUCGGAAAUAGAAAAAUCUUGGUUAUGUUAUUAUUCUUCGUUGGUUCGUUAAAAAUGGAUAAAUAAAAACUUUGCAUACAAGAAUUAAUAAAAAUGUUAUAACGAAUUUAAUUAAAUGUUUUAUCAUUAUAUAUAAAGAAUUUAUGGCAAGAUAAAGUUAUAUACAACCUCAACUCAUAUGGGACUACCCCCUGAAUUUAAGCAUAUUAAUUAGGGGAGGAAAAGAAACUAACAAGGAUUUUCUUAGUAGCGGCGAGCGAAAAGAAAACAGUUCAGCACUAAGUCACUUUGUCUAUAUGGCAAAUGUGAGAUGCAGUGUAUGGAGCGUCAAUAUUCUAGUAUGAGAAAUUAACGAUUUAAGUCCUUCUUAAAUGAGGCCAUUUACCCAUAGAGGGUGCCAGGCCCGUAUAACGUUAAUGAUUACUAGAUGAUGUUUCCAAAGAGUCGUGUUGCUUGAUAGUGCAGCACUAAGUGGGUGGUAAACUCCAUCUAAAACUAAAUAUAACCAUGAGACCGAUAGUAAACAAGUACCGUGAGGGAAAGUUGAAAAGAACUCUGAAUAGAGAGUUAAACAGUACGUGAAACUGCUUAGAGGUUAAGCCCGAUGAACCUGAAUAUCCGUUAUGGAAAAUUCAUCAUUAAAAUUGUAAUAUUUAAAUAAUAUUAUGAGAAUAGUGUGCAUUUUUUCCAUAUAAGGACAUUGUAAUCUAUUAGCAUAUACCAAAUUUAUCAUAAAAUAUAACUUAUAGUUUAUUCCAAUUAAAUUGCUUGCAUUUUAACACAGAAUAAAUGUUAUUAAUUUGAUAAAGUGCUGAUAGAUUUAUAUGAUUACAGUGCGUUAAUUUUUCGGAAUUAUAUAAUGGCAUAAUUAUCAUUGAUUUUUGUGUUUAUUAUAUGCACUUGUAUGAUUAACAAUGCGAAAGAUUCAGGAUACCUUCGGGACCCGUCUUGAAACACGGACCAAGGAGUCUAACAUAUGUGCAAGUUAUUGGGAUAUAAACCUAAUAGCGUAAUUAACUUGACUAAUAAUGGGAUUAGUUUUUUAGCUAUUUAUAGCUAAUUAACACAAUCCCGGGGCGUUCUAUAUAGUUAUGUAUAAUGUAUAUUUAUAUUAUUUAUGCCUCUAACUGGAACGUACCUUGAGCAUAUAUGCUGUGACCCGAAAGAUGGUGAACUAUACUUGAUCAGGUUGAAGUCAGGGGAAACCCUGAUGGAAGACCGAAACAGUUCUGACGUGCAAAUCGAUUGUCAGAAUUGAGUAUAGGGGCGAAAGACCAAUCGAACCAUCUAGUAGCUGGUUCCUUCCGAAGUUUCCCUCAGGAUAGCUGGUGCAUUUUAAUAUUAUAUAAAAUAAUCUUAUCUGGUAAAGCGAAUGAUUAGAGGCCUUAGGGUCGAAACGAUCUUAACCUAUUCUCAAACUUUAAAUGGGUAAGAACCUUAACUUUCUUGAUAUGAAGUUCAAGGUUAUGAUAUAAUGUGCCCAGUGGGCCACUUUUGGUAAGCAGAACUGGCGCUGUGGGAUGAACCAAACGUAAUGUUACGGUGCCCAAAUUAACAACUCAUGCAGAUACCAUGAAAGGCGUUGGUUGCUUAAAACAGCAGGACGGUGAUCAUGGAAGUCGAAAUCCGCUAAGGAGUGUGUAACAACUCACCUGCCGAAGCAACUAGCCCUUAAAAUGGAUGGCGCUUAAGUUGUAUACCUAUACAUUACCGCUAAAGUAGAUGAUUUAUAUUACUUGUGAUAUAAAUUUUGAAACUUUAGUGAGUAGGAAGGUACAAUGGUAUGCGUAGAAGUGUUUGGCGUAAGCCUGCAUGGAGCUGCCAUUGGUACAGAUCUUGGUGGUAGUAGCAAAUAAUCGAAUGAGACCUUGGAGGACUGAAGUGGAGAAGGGUUUCGUGUGAACAGUGGUUGAUCACGAGUUAGUCGGUCCUAAGUUCAAGGCGAAAGCCGAAAAUUUUCAAGUAAAACAAAAAUGCCUAACUAUAUAAACAAAGCGAAUUAUAAUACACUUGAAUAAUUUUGAACGAAAGGGAAUACGGUUCCAAUUCCGUAACCUGUUGAGUAUCCGUUUGUUAUUAAAUAUGGGCCUCGUGCUCAUCCUGGCAACAGGAACGACCAUAAAGAAGCCGUCGAGAGAUAUCGGAAGAGUUUUCUUUUCUGUUUUAUAGCCGUACUACCAUGGAAGUCUUUCGCAGAGAGAUAUGGUAGAUGGGCUAGAAGAGCAUGACAUAUACUGUUGUGUCGAUAUUUUCUCCUCGGACCUUGAAAAUUUAUGGUGGGGACACGCAAACUUCUCAACAGGCCGUACCAAUAUCCGCAGCUGGUCUCCAAGGUGAAGAGUCUCUAGUCGAUAGAAUAAUGUAGGUAAGGGAAGUCGGCAAAUUAGAUCCGUAACUUCGGGAUAAGGAUUGGCUCUGAAGAUUGAGAUAGUCGGGCUUGAUUGGGAAACAAUAACAUGGUUUAUGUGCUCGUUCUGGGUAAAUAGAGUUUCUAGCAUUUAUGUUAGUUACUUGUUCCCCGGAUAGUUUAGUUACGUAGCCAAUUGUGGAACUUUCUUGCUAAAAUUUUUAAGAAUACUAUUUGGGUUAAACCAAUUAGUUCUUAUUAAUUAUAACGAUUAUCAAUUAACAAUCAAUUCAGAACUGGCACGGACUUGGGGAAUCCGACUGUCUAAUUAAAACAAAGCAUUGUGAUGGCCCUAGCGGGUGUUGACACAAUGUGAUUUCUGCCCAGUGCUCUGAAUGUCAAAGUGAAGAAAUUCAAGUAAGCGCGGGUCAACGGCGGGAGUAACUAUGACUCUCUUAAGGUCAUAAGGCCAAAUGCCUCGUCAUCUAAUUAGUGACGCGCAUGAAUGGAUUAACGAGAUUCCUACU